UAAUACGUAGGGGGCUAGCGUUGUCCGGAUUUAUUGGGCGUAAAGAGCUCGUAGGCGGUUCGAUAAGUCGACGGUGAAAUCUCCACGCUCAACGUGGAGGGGUCCGUUGAUACUGUCGUGACUCGAGUCCGGUAGGGGAGUGUGGAAUUCCCGGUGUAGCGGUGAAAUGCGCAGAGAUCGGGAGGAACACCCGUAGCGAAGGCGGCACUCUGGGCCGGUACUGACGCUGAGGAGCGAAAGCGUGGGGAGCAAACAGGAUUAGAUACCCUGGUAGUCCACGCCGUAAACGUUGGGCACUAGGUGUGGGGCUCUAUCAACGGGCUCCGUGCCGUAGCUAACGCAUUAAGUGCCCCGCCUGGGGAGUACGGCCGCAAGGCUA
rnacentral:rRNA from 1 species